UACGAAGGGGGCUAGCGUUGCUCGGAAUCACUGGGCGUAAAGCGCACGUAGGCGGACUCUUAAGUCGGUGGUGAAAUCCUGGAGCUCAACUCCAGAACUGCCUUCGAUACUGGGAGUCUCGAGUCCGGGAGAGGUGAGUGGAACUGCGAGUGUAGAGGUGAAAUUCGUAGAUAUUCGCAAGAACACCAGUGGCGAAGGCGGCUCACUGGCCCGGUACUGACGCUGAGGUGCGAAAGCCAGGGGAGCAAAGCGGG
rnacentral:rRNA from 1 species